UCAAAAGCAAAUCUUGUUUUUGACGACAGACACCGGCAAAGCACUUCAUUGAUUUGUUGCUGCAGGGAAUGAAGUGCGCCAGCCACUUCCGGUCACGUGCCUCGGCGCGCGCGUGGGGGAAAAAAAAGCCGACACCUGCUGCUCGUGGGUGGAGUCCAGUCGAUUAAGUGAGGACCGUGAGGAGGAAGGUUUUACUAAAACCUUGGGUCCAGUCGUGGCAGCAACGAUGCUCAUGGAUUGCAGCAUGUGGAGCUUCUCAAGCAGCUGCCUCCUCAGGCGGCCUUUGCCUCUGGACUUUGCAACAGUCCCUUCAGCUUCAGACGGAGACUUGCGGAAUGGAAACACCUUCGAUGUUGGCCCUGAAGAUGGAACCUGCAGCUCAGCUCCACCUGGUUGUGACGGUCACCUCACAAAGUUGUCCAGUGUCUGAUGAUGCUGCCGAUGAAAAUAUGAGUAUUACUCUCAGGUGGAUCUGCUGCACAACUGAUGGACUUGGGCUGGGAACGCACUGGAAGUUAGUGAUGGAAGCUCACCCAGUGGAUGUGGUCCCGUGUACACUCUG